rnacentral:rRNA from 1 species
UCGGGAAUUUUGGGCAAUGGGCGAAAGCCUGACCCAGCAACGCCGCGUGAAGGAUGAAGUAUUUCGGUAUGUAAACUUCGUAAGAAUAGGAAGAAUAAAUGACGGUACUAUUUGUAAGGUCCGGCUAACUCUGUGCCAGCAGCCGCGGUAAUACAGAGGGUGCAAGCGUUAAUCGGAAUUACUGGGCGUAAAGCGCGCGUAGGUGGUUAGUUAAGUCGGAUGUGAAAGCCCCGGGCUCAACCUGGGAACGGCAUCCGAUACUGGUGGGCUAGAGUGCGGUAGAGGAGAGCGGAAUUCCCGGUGUAGCGGUGAAAUGCGUAGAGAUCGGGAGGAACAUCCGUGGCGAAGGCGGCUCUCUGGACCAGGCACUGACGUUGAGGCACGAAAGCGUGGGGAGCAAACAGGAUUAGAUACCCAAGUAGUCCCUGAGCGGGCUGGCAAGGCGCAU